UCUUGGGCGUGCGGCCGGGUGUGCGGCUGGCGGUUGGCGUCCGCGACCGUGUCCUUCCCGACCCCGACUCCGUGGGCGGACGCUCACUGCGGAACGAGCUGUAGGGCUGGGUCCGGAGGGCGCGCGCUGAGAUGAUGCUGAGAGGAAACCUGAAGCAAGUGCGCAUCGAGAAGAACCCGGCGCGCCUCCGUGCCCUAGAGUCGGCGGCCGGCGAGGGCGAGCCGGCGGCCAUGGCGCUCGCGCUGCCCGGGGAGCCGCCCGCGCCCGCGCCCGCCGCGCCCGCCGAGGACCGGCCGGCCGAGGAGGGCGGCUUCACCAUCGACAUCAAGAGCUUCCUCAAGCCGGGCGAGAAGACGUACACGCAGCGCUGCCGCCUCUUCGUGGGGAACCUGCCGACGGACAUCACCGAGGACGACUUCAAGCGGCUGUUCGAGCGCUACGGCGAGCCCAGCGAGGUCUUCAUCAACCGCGACCGCGGCUUCGGCUUCAUCCGCCUGGAAUCCAGAACCCUGGCUGAAAUUGCAAAAGCAGAGCUGGAUGGCACCAUUUUGAAGAGCAGACCUCUGCGAAUUCGUUUUGCUACACAUGGAGCAGCCCUAACUGUCAAGAACCUUUCUCCAGUUGUUUCCAAUGAGCUCCUAGAGCAAGCGUUUUCUCAGUUCGGUCCAGUAGAGAAAGCUGUUGUUGUUGUGGAUGACCGUGGUAGAGCUACGGGGAAAGGUUUUGUAGAAUUUGCUGCAAAACCUCCUGCACGAAAGGCUCUGGAAAGAUGUGGUGAUGGGGCGUUCUUGCUAACAACGACCCCUCGUCCAGUCAUUGUGGAGCCUAUGGAGCAGUUUGAUGAUGAAGAUGGCUUGCCAGAGAAGCUAAUGCAGAAAACUCAACAGUAUCAUAAGGAAAGAGAGCAGCCGCCCCGAUUUGCUCAACCUGGAACCUUUGAGUUUGAGUACGCGUCUCGGUGGAAGGCUCUCGAUGAAAUGGAGAAGCAGCAGCGUGAGCAGGUUGACAGAAACAUCAGAGAAGCCAAAGAGAAGCUGGAGGCGGAAAUGGAAGCAGCCAGGCACGAGCACCAGUUGAUGCUGAUGAGGCAAGAUUUAAUGAGGCGUCAAGAAGAACUCAGACGCUUGGAAGAACUAAGAAACCAAGAGCUGCAAAAACGGAAGCAAAUACAGCUAAGGCAUGAGGAAGAGCAUCGUCGUCGUGAGGAGGAAAUGAUCCGCCACCGGGAGCAGGAGGAACUGCGGCGGCAGCAGGAGGGCUUUAAGCCGAACUAUAUGGAAAACGGCGGGGAUGUCACCUUGGGGAAAAAACCCUGGCUCAGCAUGAAAGGACAGCAUCCACGGACGUCCCUCCAGAUGGAUGGCUCUCACACUUUGGAGUGCCUUUGACUCACCUGACAGGGCUCCUGAGAACACGGAUUUCUCGGCUGUGCCCCAGAGCUUCUUGAUGCAGCAGGUCUCAGGAGGGGCCAAACCGUUGCCCUUUCUGACAGGUUCCCAGGCGGUGCUGCUCUUGGGCCUGGUGCCCCGUUUGAGAAGUCUGCUCUAAAGCGUUGCUCAGGAGGCACGGAGCCGUUUGGGUCGGUGGAUUUCAGCUGGUCCCGGUCCCGGUCCCGGUCCCAUCCCUCUUCUGCAGGACCCCCGGCCAGUCACGGAGCAGAGCAGCCCAAGCCGAGGGCUUCCUGCUGCUGCAGAAAGUCUGUGGUGUCACGGCUCGUCCGUGCUGUGUUUUGCACCCGAGCUUCGAUUUUCACACGUACUUUUAGAAAGUGAUGCCCACCUGAGUUCAGUAAAGGGGAAUUGUUAACAAGUCUUGAGGUAGUUCGAACCUGCCUCGUGAGACCUCCCGGAGAUGUGCGUUGCGUGUGUGUGCUUGAAAGUCUCUUCAGAGUCCUGUACGGUACAUUGACACAAGCAAAUCGGUCCGUCAUGAAAGCACAGAGUUGCUGUGUUGACAGUCAUUUUCUUCCCCAGUGUUUUGACUCUUAGCGCAAAGAAACCGUCCCCUAGCUUGCAACCUUGAGCUCUCGCAGGAGGCGGUGACGAGGGCGCGAGGGAGCCUUGUCUGAAGACGUGUCCGCCCUGCGACCCCGCGGUGCAGGGCACCUCCUCCUGCUUCCCACAGACGCAGCCUGCCCAGGAGGCCCCCCUGACCGAGCCUUGCUCGGUGUCGCUGAACUCAAAGUGGCGGGGGCUCCGGUCCGCUCGUCCUCUCCACUCACAGCCCCUCCCUCGUUCUGGUUAAGGAUUCGGGUCCUUUUGCUCCUGGGGAGUCCAGGACUUGAGACUCGGCCGCCAGUUCCUCACCUUUUCCGUAGGCCUUCUCAUGCAGACUGGGAGAGUAAGGCUUUGUUUCAUCCGUCCUGUAAAACGAAAUUUUGUGGCUAGAUUUCUGGAUGCACUCGUUUUUGCUGUUCAGUUAUUUAUUACUAAUUUUCUUCAAGAAAGGAUUUGAACUCCUGUGGCAGUACUUGGAUGCUGCAGUGAGUGAUAGCUGACAGAAGUCAGCACUUAAAUUAGCUAUUUUUUGGCACACGAAUGCAGAAAAAUAAAUUUUGAAAAAAGGAACCUGUGCUGUGUUUCUCCUGCUUCCGGUCUCUCUGUUCCUGAAGUUUGUUCCAUUUGGACCGUGAAUUCCCUUUACACCCUGCUGCCCGAGUCACCCUCCCUGCUGGGAGCCAUACACAGCUUAGGAUCUGUCCCUACUGUGUAGACCUAGGGUCAUUCGUUAGGAAAAUUUAAAAGACCUUUUUUUUUGUUUGUUUGUUUUUGAGUUUUUUUUGCUUCUUAGUUGUAUAUUAUGCUAUGUGGAACCAUUACAUCUACUUUAUAAGUAGGACAUCAGAAGUUUUUGGAAAGUGACAUGCUCCAAAUUUGGGGGAUGGGAAGUACAAUACAGAAAAUACAGAUUCAGAUUCGUAAUUUCUGCUUUCAGUGCAUUUAACCCAUGUCAAUAUUUGUGCUUCCAGUCAGGUGAACUAUCCUUUAGACAGUGAAGGUAUGAGUUAUUCCCUGAGUAGAUGGAAAACGCAGGCUUCACAGUUGGGAAUUACUUUGCAAUUCCUUCGAUAGUAAGGAAGAAGAUUGCCCGUUGGGGCCGAUUGCUAGUCCUCUUUCACGGGUCCUCUACGUAUGAUACCCGUAGUAAGUAAUCUCGCAGCAUCUAAAACUCCCAGUACUUGUUUUGGCAGUUGCUGUGCUGGCAGUAGUUUGGCAGUUGGGGCACUGCAGAUAGAGCUGUGCCCAGUGCAGCCAACCCCUCAGCUCCCUGGCACUUGUGUUCUAGGCCUCGAGAGACAGUGACAGAUAGUUGAGGUGACUUAGCACGUCAUCAUUUGGGUAGAGAAAGUGACCGUUUCAGGAGGUGAGAGGACAGGAGUCUGAUACAGCCUGUGCAGAGGCCCUGAUGCAGGACACCUCUCAGAGCUGCAGUCGGGUGCGGUGCCUCUGGAGCUGUGGAGUCUGGAGUGGGACUGGUGUGGCUGUGACUUGAGUUUUAACUGUAUGGUGAUGAACUUUAAUUCAGUUAUGAACACAGCAUUAAGCAUAUUUGGAAAAAACAAGAACGUAUUCGGAACAGCUUGGGUAUGUGAAUCUACUUCUUUAAUAAAAUCUAAAUCCAUAUCAGUAGUAAGGAAAAUUCACCAUUUGAUGUAGAUGUGCCACAUAUACGCAGAACUGCAAAGACGUAGUAUGAAGGGCAGAGUGUAAGUUGUCUCAAUUUUGUGUAUGACUACUUGUUGAAAUGGUAGUGUUUUGGAUGUAUUUGGUUAAAUAAAAUACACCGUUAAGCUAAGUUCAUCUGUCGCACCUUACCCCUCACUGUAGCUCCUAAGGACUUUUCACUUUCUUUUGUGGUUUGUGUUAUUUUUCUUUUGGGCAGUGCUGAUCUAGGCUGGUAAUGGUCAGUGUCUCGUGUGUACAUGAUUGUAAUGCUGGGAGCUUGUUACAUGGUCUGUAAUUAUGUCAUCUGUGUAAUUUCUAUCUUGUCAGUGGAGAAUUUGCAGGUUUGUUAAACAUCCAUUCCCUCUGAGGUGUCGGGGCGAGGGCUCUCCCGGAGGCUGUAGUGGUGUUUGUGCGGGAGCCGGAAGGGGGUUGAGCUCCCAGUUGUCACACUUGUCUGCAUUUCACUGCCUUCACGCUUGUUGCUUUUGCUCAUUCUCUCCUGAGACUCUGGUCAUAACAGAGUUAAUCUAAUUAUUUUAAAUCUUGAGAAAGCGUGAUCGUAAUACAAGAUUUCCUCCAAAACUUUGGGUCAAAAUUUCCUGUACAUUGACUGACUUCAUUGCAGCUGCAUGUCAGCUCCAAGGGAGAAGGGACCUGAUACGUCAUCUCGUGGUUUAGUCCUCAUUUCCUGUCAGGUCUUUACUACGUGUUUUUUCAUGAAUGAGUGAUACCAACUGUAGGACCACUCUUCUAAGGAGAAUACACAAAUGCACAAAACAUGGCAGCUCACCACCUCUCGGGCUUUGGAGCGUGUGGGUGUGUGCAGAGCUGUGCCCUAGAGCAGCCCGUAGCAAUGAAGCAACUAGGACAUGCCCGGAAAACCCAGAAGCGCGCUGCACUUGGGUUGGGAAGACUUGACCGAGACGAUCGCUUUUGAGCGCGUCUACAAGGUGAGUAUGUGCCCGCUGUAGGCACCCAGGUGGGGGCAGGGGGAGGGCACUGUGGGGUGGCGCAGUCACCUGGCUGAUGAGGCGGUCAGGGCGCGGCCCAGGGCCCUGGUCUGGGACGGGGGUGGGGGCAGGGACGUGACCCUCACUCCCCGGUUUGGAGUUUGGCUUCGCCUCCUGUGCGGCUCAGAGUCAGGGUAGUUAUUUUUAGCUACAAGAGGGGCUUUGCUGUAAAUAGCAAGACGAGAGGCCACGUAGACCAUUCAUACGUCCCAGCCCCGCCACCGCCUUCCCCCUGCCUGGUCCAUGGUCCCUGGGAGGCUCUUUGGUCUCCGCGAGGAGUUUGCAGAUUUCGCAUGUGGAGUGAGUUGGGCAGGCCACAGCCAGCUCUCGUGUUCCAGGGUCCCGGGUCCACAGACCCACCCGAGCACGGAUGAAAUUCUGUCUCCCCUCCUUCCCUCUCUCUCUUUCCCUCCUUUCUUGUUUUUUGCUCAACACAGGUGUGUUGCUCUGGUUCUGGAGAUGAGAGGAAGUCCAGAAUGGGUCAGGGCUGUGUUUCUUUAGGGAAGAAACCAUGCCUUGGCCUUGCAAGUCUCUAGCGGCUGCCCACGCUUUUUGGCUUGUUGCCCUGAGGAGCCCUGGCCUCCGCUUUUUUUAGUAUCAUUCAUGAUCAGAACGUUUUGAAGAAAAGAUUCCAAGAAGCAGAACUUGUUGCUCUGGGCAGGUCACUGUUUCCAUCGCGCCCUGUCUGCAGUCUCCUGAGCAGGUUCUCGAGAUACUGGAAGUACAGGAGGGGUGGCGGUUUCUCUGCAAAUACUGUGCCCUUUUCUAGAGGAGGCUGGAUUUUGGUCCUUGCGCCAGUGGUCUGGGGGAGAGGGGGUGCGGAUGGCCUCGUGGUAGGAAGUGUGGCCGCCGGGCCGGUGGUGGCUGACGGCCCUCCCGAGCCUUGAAGGUAAGUGUUCAGGCCUGGGGUUGGGGUAGAGCUGCUUGAAGCAGAGCGAAGGUGUCCCCGCUGGAUUUUUUAGUAUCCGGGCUUUGAGUGCCUGUGGUGUGGGCUGGGAUUUUGUUGUUGUUGUUGCUAUUUCUUGGGCCGCUCCCGCGGCAUAUGGAGGUUCCCAGGCCAGGGGUCCAAUCGGAGCUGUAGCCACCGGCCUACGCCAGAGCCACAGCAACGCGGGAUCCGAGCCGUGUCUGCAACCUACACCACAGCUCACGGCAACACCAGAUCGUUAACCCACUGAGCAAGGGCAGGGACCGAACCCGCAACCUCAUGGUUCCUAGUCAGAUUCAUUAACCACUGCGCCACGAUAGGAACUCCUGGGCUGGGAUUUUAAAGCCUGUGUGGAGCUGCUCCGCCUGGUGAAGAGGCCCUGUCACCCCCACACUGAAGGCCCCGAGCCGCCCUCCCAACUGGUCCUGCUGGGACCUCUGCUCCUGCAGUCAUUCUCCGCAGUGUCUUGCGCUUCCUUCUCAGACAUUGGACCGUGGCCUCUCCUGUUGGCUUCGUGCGGCUCCUCACCUGGAUUCCAGCCCCCGGGCUCUAUCGGGUCUGCCCUCGGGGCAUCUUUGCAGGCACCCCUCUCCCCCCCCCCCCCCCACCGCAGCCUUCCGAUCUCCGUGUCCACAGCUGUUUUUGCAGGUCGCUUAGGAGGAGCCCUUCCCCAGUCGGAGGAGAGCUCACCUCCCUUCACUCCUGGCCCCGCUCAGUCAGUGUGUGGUCCUCACUUGAGUGUGUGCGUGUUGUGUCUGCAUUUCAUCCAUCUUCUUCCAGACCUCCCAAUGUCAUAGCAGAAUUGGCAGUGGGCAUUUCCUUAGCUGGUCUGAGGAAGAAUCCAGGAGAAUAGGGAGUCAUGACAUAGUAUUGAGAGGUUUCAGAACCAGCUAAUUUGUGUAUUGGAAUCUAGUGGCCUUUUUUUUUUUUUUUUUUUUUGCGGCCAUAUCUGUGGGCAUAUAUAGGUUCCCAGGCUAGGGGUCCAAUCAGAGCUGUAGCCGCUGGCCUACACCACAGCCACAGCAACGUGAGAUCUGAGAUGCAUCUGUGACCUACACUACAGCUCACAGAAGCGCUGGAUCCUUAACCCACUGGGUGAGGCCGGGGAUUGAACCUGCAUCCUCAUGGAUACUGGUCGGAUUCAUUAACCAGUGAGCCACGAAGGAAACACCUCAGUUACUUGUUUAUCCAAUAGGCAGUUAUUGAGCCAUUUUUGUCUCAGCCUGUGCAUAGAUAAUGAAGAAAACUGAAUAGGUCCCUGCCUGCCGUGAGCUUGGAUGGGAAGAGACCCGUGGGGAGAAACGUGAGGUUCAGAGCAGGAAGCACUCCGUUCCCUUACGUUAUGUCUACACCGAAGCAGGUCCUGGGAAGGAAGUAGGAUGGAAGGAAAGAGGAUGGUAGGGAGCGAUGAGGAGUCGAGGGAGGGAGCGUGGCGUGUGUCUGGGUGCUGGUCCGGUUGGAGGGGCACGUGUGCCGAGGGCACUUAAAUCUGGCAGAGGUGGGAGGCGCUCAUGAGUCAGAAGGGGUGGAAGAGCGUGCCCUCUCCCCACGACGGGGAGGUGCUUGUCCUCAGAGUGUGAACUGAAGGGGUGCCGGUGGUUUUCCUGUUUUGCACGGGCACCAGGUGACUUGCAGAGCCCGCGUGAGCAACGACAGGGCGCUCACCACAGCCUUCCGCUCCUCCCAGCAGCCCCAAACCUCCUGUGAUGGUCCGUACGGCUUCCUGCCCGUGGUCGUCACACUCCGGAGGACACUGCAGGGUUUCGCCUGGCGACUCAAGGAACUGAACUUGAGCAUGGUUCAGUGGUUACGGUUUUCAGGAGAAAUGAUUGCGUAAAACUCUGUUAGGAAGGAAACACCUGUUCUUCAGGCUUUUGUUCAGUAAGUUGGGCGCUGUGUUUAAAUAGCGUGGCUGCCCGUGCUGCAGUGAGCAUUGCGUGUCUUUAAGGAUGUAAUUGCAUCACACCCUUAAAAGUAAUGCAGGGAAAUUCCUGUUGUGGCACACCAGAAACGAAUCCUACUAGUGAGGAUGCAGGUUUGAUCCCUGGACUCACUCAGUGGGUCGGAGAUCUGGUGUUGCUGUGAGCUGCAGUGUAGGUCACAGAAAUGCUUGGAUUCCACGUUGCUGUGGCUGUGGUGUAGACUAGCAGCUGCAGCAAUGAUUCGACCCCUAGCCCGGGAACUUCCAUAUGCCGCAGGUGCGGCCCUAAACCUAAAAAGCAAAAAAAAAAAAAAAAAAAACACCAAAAAAUGACGUAGGUAUUUGAGUUCUCACUGUGGUGCAGUGGGGUUAAGAACCUGACUGUAGCAGCUCAGGUCUCUGGAGAAGCUCAGGUUCAAUCCCAGGCCUGGUGCAGUGGCUUAAAGGAUCUGGUGUUGCUGCAGCUGUGCGUUGGAUUCAGUCCUUGGCCCAGGAUCUUCCAUGUGCUGCGGGUGCUGCUGUCAAAACUAGUAAUGGUAUGGGUCUCAAAACUAGUAGUAGAAUAGGUGUUAACAUGCUAGUUUAACGUACACGCUUUCUUGCUAUCGUGAUAUUCACGUGUAUGCCGAUAACGUAUUCAGUAAAAUGAUUUUUUUAGUGUAUAGAGCUCACAAAUGAAUUGCAAGGGACUAUAUCAUUGCGUUUGGAAAGAGCCUAAGUUAGCAUACACCAGAAGUGUAUAGGUUCUGAAUCAUUAAUGCCAAAGACAGCAUAUUAGUGCCUUUGAGCAAGUGCUUUCUUACUUUAAGAAGAAGGCGGCCAGGGCUUCUUGUCAUUGCUCGGCAAUAACCAAGCUGACCAGUGUCCAUGAGGACAUGGCCUUGCUCAGUGGGUUAAGGAUCCAGUGUUUCUGUGAGCUGCAGUGUAGGUCACAGAUGUGGCUCAAAUCCUGUGUUGCCGUGGCUGUGGUGUAGGCCAGUAGCUACAGCUCCGAUUGGACCCCUAGUCUGGGAACCUCCAUAUGCCCAACGGGCGGCCCUAAAAAGACAAAAAGACUAAGCCAGCUCACAUUGGGUAGGUUCUUGGUGCUGCGUUCUGGGAACUUGAGAGGAGCAGGGCCCAGGACAGUGAUAAGAACAGUGCAGAAAUGGGCCGUGAGCAUCAGCAGCCAUGGUGCUUUUGAAUCCACAGAGGCUUGCAUUACAUCCACAUGAAUUGGAGACAGAAGAAAGGAGAAAUUCAAAAAAGCAGUGACUGUAGAAUAAAUUUUGGAAUCGUGUUGCCAGUAGGGAAUGCAUCCAUUAGGGUGAGCCCGUUACUCGCUCCCAGGAGCCCUGCUGUCGCACAGUUGGCACCAGUGCUGGGUAUACCCGGUGACUUGGCGCAUUACAGGUGAAACUAAUUGUCCGAAAUUGCUCACAAGGAGUUUGGAGAAGAGAAAUGAAAGUAGGAUGAACUAAGGGGGACGGCUGUGCGUAGGAUGCAUCAGGUAUGUUCUUGCUUAGUGGGAGGCUCAGAGGCGCCUUUCGCGGGGGAAGGACCUCGGGAGUGUGUCCGGCCAGGCGCAGAGGCAGAAGUGGCCAGGCGUCCGCCCCAGGGAGCAGGCAGGACCAGCAGGGCCCGAAUGAACAAGGGCUGGGGCUCACGCGGAUGAGCUUGCGCCGGCUGAGGCAGGUCGCGAAGCACAAGGAAGGUUUGUUUGGCAAGAGAGUUGAUGGUCCUGAGGUGUGUGCUCCAGACGGUUUCCUCGACUGUGGGUGCGCUUAUGGUAGCUCAGAGUGGGGGGUCGGGAAGCUAGACGCGAUGUGGAAAAGGAUUGGAGAGCAAGAGCGUAAAGCAGGGUGUAUCAGGAGUUGCCUGGUGCCCUGGCGAGUAAGGAUCCGGCAUUGUCACUGCUGUGACUUGGUUCGAUCCCUGGCCCUGGUGAGUGCAGCCAAAAAAAUCGUAAAAGAGAGAAAUGAAGACAUGUCAGUUAUUUAGCAAAUGCAGAGCAGUCGGACUGGGUUAACUGAGGCGUGUGGGGGUGGGGAGUUACACGGAAGGAAGCAGGCAGGAGGGACUGCUUUUACCCCCAAGGCCCGUAGUUUUGGUGCUGCCCACUUCCAAGAGAAGUGAGCGUGGGCUGGAGGUCCUCGGGUCUCGUGGCCUCCGGAAAGGUGUCGCGCAUGUGAACUCAUGAUGCUCAGGCAGUGGUCUUGGCUGGAGAAGAGGUUCGUUGCCAUCCGUAAACACCACUUGAUAAGAGUGUGAAACAGACAGUUCACCAGCAUGAGGUGUCUGUUGUCAGGGUCUGAAAACCGUGUACACCGCUGUGUGUGGCUGUUCAGAUAGACCUGGAAGGCCCUGCUGGGCCCGGUCUUUGCGGAACAUGCCGAGCCACCAUACAGCAGUGCCGUCACAUGCGUGCGUCACAGAAGAAAGCACGGGCUAGGAAUGGGUGUUUGUGAAAAAUCACCCCUUUUACUCAUACUUGGUUAAUGGCCAGCAUAAAUAACUGUGGAGACCAGAUGGGGAUUAGCCCCUAUUAGUACCUGCCCAGCAUCUGUGAGGAGGCUGUUGGGAUUCCGAACCUUACUCAGUGGGCGAAGGAUGCGGUGUUGCCGUGAGCGGUGGUGUGGGGUCACAGGUGCAGCUCGGAUCCCACCCCUAGCUGGGGCAUUUCCAUGUGGGUGCAGCCCUCACAUUAAAAAACAGAAUCAUAAAGUUACCUCAUUCUGCUCUGUGCCGCAGCCAUCGUUCAGACCUUCCUUUGAGAUCCAGAAGUAACCCUUUAUCAUACCAUCUCUUUUUUAAGCCUUAUUACCUGUACAAGCCAACUAGUCUUCACAAACUGCCAAUGCUGAAACUCAUUCGGUAUAGUUUUGAAUUUUUGAAUAAUAUGCAUCUGAUACACAGAUGUGGAAAUGCAAGAUUGUACAUGGUGAUGUGUGCCCACUGCCCAGCUUCUCUCCCCGGGGUCCCUCACUGUUUACAGGUGCAGGCAGGUCAUUGUUAGACAGGCACCACCUCUGUGGGGACAGUGUCUCUCUGAUGUGUUCUUGUUUUCUCCUUGUUACAAGCAUCCUGUUGGCUGCAUGUCCCAGAGCAUGUGUGUGAACCUGUCUGCAGGGUAAAAUUCUGGUUGAAUGACUUGGGUCUCGGGUGCGUGUGUCUCUGUCGUGUUCUGCGUUCUGCCUGUUGUUACUGUGGAGAGUGAGAAUUUAACUGUAUUCCUGUCAGUCCUCAGCACGUGCACCGAGUCAGUGAAGAUGGGAUGUUGACAAAGACUCAGGGAAUCGCUGCAGGCAGUGGUGAAAGUGGAGGAGUCCAGAUUUGAUUAAACUGGGGAAAGCCUUGAGGUGGUCCUGACAGUGGUUAAUGAGGAUUGCAGGAGUUCUCGUGUGUCUGUCACAUAUGAGGUUACGCAAGCAGGUGCCUGUUUCAUUAAAUAAACCAGUUACUGUCUCGGGGAGAAUUACCAGCAUGACAGGGUUCUAAGGACCUGGUGAGGAUUAGCCGUUUGACUUACUGGGGGCAUUAAACCAAGGUUGCGAUGGGCUCUGUUGGUGCUGUUGGCGGUAGAGACGGGCGUCUGACUCACGUUCAGCAGUCUUUCAUCCAGAGCAAGUUGUGCAGUUCUUGAGCAGUGGCAGUGGGGGCAGCAUUAGCGGUGCUGUGCUAACGCGAAGUCCCUAAGUUUAGUGUCAAGAGUAGGAGAACCUCGGAAGACUUCUAGAGGAGCCCUUCCCCUGUUGGUGGGAAGUUUUGAAAUUUUACUUGAAAUUUACCACCUUGUGUUCCUUGGAAAUACUGGAGGGGAGGUAAACUUUAUUUACAAGUGAAAUCGGGAGGGCCUCUCAGCCGUGUGUGUGAGGUAGCUUCACCGAAAAUGAAGAAAAUGUUAAAAAAACUCGUAUGCUUUCUCAAGGAAUUGUGUUGGUUAUUCAGUAAAUUAUUAUGUGUAUUUGGACGCUUGCAGCGAAUUGAAAUGCUGGAAUGUUCCGUGUCUUACGAUAGUAGUGGUUGGGUGGUGGAGCUUUACCCAGGGACUGAGGGAGGCCCUUUGCUGUGGGGCAGGUUCCCGCCUCGCGCCCGGUCCGGUCCGAGCUUCGGGGUCCGGGGUCCGGUGUGGGUGUGAAGGGCCGUCUGCCAGCCGUGUUCCCUGCCGUGGGCCCCUAGGCCUUGGGCGUGGGGCACCGCACGUCCUGUGAGCCCGCGGGGCUCCCAGCCGCAGGCGGGCUGGCGGGUGGGGCCGAGGGAGCCAGGCAGGCGCCACCGUUUUUUGAGCCAUGUUUUCCUGCCAGAGACGCCAAGGCCCCUUCGGUGAGAUGUUCGCCCCACGGGGAGCUGAGGCUGAACGUGUGCCUGUGCCUACGUGGGGGGGAUUGUGCUGUUGGACGGAUCCCUCUGUGGUGGGGCCGCGUGGCCUGUGCACGCGCGGGGCUGCAGUGCAGGUUCCUUCCUUCCUCCCCGCCCGGCCCCGCACUCAGGCCCCGGGAAGGGCCCAGGCUAGGGGUCGACUCCGAGCUGCGACCUUCAGCCUACACCACGGCCGCAGCAGAUCUGCGACCCACACCUUGGCUCACGGCAACACCGGAUUCCGAACCGACUGAGUGGGAGCAGGGAUGGAACCUGCGUCCACAUGGAUUUAAAUCAGGUUUGUUGGCACCGAGCCAUGAUGGCAGUGCCCUUUUUUUUUAAUUUCCUUUCUUUUUUUUUUUUGGUAUGUGUUUCAAGAUGUGUGGCAUACGGACGUCCCCUGGGCCAGGGAUUGAAUCCCAGCCUCAGUGGCAGCAACGCUGGAUCCUUUAACCCACUGCUCUGGGCAGGGGAAUGAACCUGCAUCUGCAGCGACCCGGGCCCCGGCAGUCAGAUUCUUAGCCCACUGCACCAUGGCGGGAACUCCGCAGGGCGCUUGAUGAAAAGACAAGUCAUGGGAAAGGCCGGGGCCAGGAUGCACCUGGUUUGUGACUCGGGAGACGCCUGGGUCCCGAAAGAGACCAGAAGGUGCCAGCACAUCAGGGCCCCUGGGCUCCGAUUCUCAACCUUGGUGGCGUUAGAGUUUCCUCUUCGUCAGUCAUUUGGGUACAGCCAGUUGAUCACACAGCCGCACAUGCGGAGGGGUCAGAACUCGAGACUGCCCUCAUCUUUGUGUUCUGCCUCAGCAGGAAUGCGCCCCCGCGUUUUGUGCCUUUCACUCCAGACCUUUUCCUGGGAAGUGGUUAGGGCCUGCCUUCUCUUACUUGAGCAUUUUACUGCAGCCUCGGUGCUUCUGCGUCCGUGUGUGAACCCUCUGAGUUACACUACGUUAGAAUUAAGUGACUCUCACGACUGUGUCGAGGGUUCCUGCCAUGAAGGCCUGAGCACAGGGCCCCAGACACCUGUGGCCUUACUGCACUUCGCCUGAGUCAGCGAGCAGGCCGUUUUUCCAGGGUCCCGCUGGCCUCUUAGCAGAGUCAGAAUGAGAUUUCUUUAUCUCAGAGAGUUGACUGUGUUCUAAGCCGUCAUGGUGACUGAGAAGGGACCUGGGGGUGUCUUCAGUGCCCCCAGCAUUUAGGAGGUCUUGCUGCCCUCUGGUGGGGGGUGGGGGUGGUUUGUUCCUGGGUCUGAGCUGUGGCCGUGUAUAGGCUUCUGGGCUGUGUGCCCACGGGAGUGUGUCCAGAUGGCAUGAAGACACAAAAAAGUUGAGAUUUAUGACUAUUUUAUUGGCUUUUUAAUGCCUUGCUUUUGUUUGCCUUUUUUUUUUUUUUUUUGCCUUUACUAGGGCCCCUCCUGUGGCACAUGGGUUCCCAGGCUAGGGGUCGAAUCGGAGCCGCAGCUGCCGGCCUACGCCAGAGCCACAGCAACACGGGAUCCGAACCUCCUCUGCAACCCACAUCACAGCUCAUGGCAACGCCGGAUCCUUAACCCACUGAGCAAGGCCAGGGAUCGAACCUGCAACCUCAUGGCUCCCAGUUGGAUUUGUUAACCACUGCACCACGACGGGAACUCCUCUGUUUGCUUUUAAUCUGGUUUGCGUAGUCUCAAUUUCUCAAAGUCAUUGGUGAUAAACAGGAAAUUUUGGACAUUUAAAAAAAUGUGGUAUAAAUAUAUUUUUAAGCUCUCCCUUCUGUUUUUAGACUUUUCAAUCCCUCUUAAAGAAGAUACGUUGGUAUCUUGUGCUCAGAACAAAGCACUGAAUUUAAGCACCUUAAUGUAUCUUCCUGUCAGUAUAGUUUGGGUCACACUAACUCAGAGGUGGUGUCCCCGGCGAGGAGGCCGUGGGAGACGGCCUUCUGCGGGCGCCUGAGACCUGUGUCCCAACCCCGUUUACACAGGUGUGAAUAGCGCCUGAACUCACCGCCGUGCCCGUUAAACUUGUUUGAUGUUUAACUUCUCGUCCUGCUUGCUGCAUGGGAGUGCGGAGCGGAUCCCGCAGGAAUCGUUUUUCCUGCUUUGUUGAUGUACGUGGUAUCUUCAAAGUGAACAACAGCAGAUGCUCUUUCAAAGUGGUUUGAAGGAUGUGCUGAAAAAGAAUCUUGCUUAUCAUUUGGUAAUUCGGUGCCUUUUCAUUACACGUGAACAUGGUUCAUUCAUGGAACUGCUCUGGCACUCAGUAAUUUACUGAAAUAUUGAAGUUUCAAAGAACAUAGUGGAGGCUGGACAUGUAAGUUUGUGAUAUCCAUGUAAUCUAAACUAAGAAUGCAGUUUGUACCUGCUGUAGUUGAACUUGUCUUAAAAACUUUACCUUGUGUUCAACCAUCAGAGUAGGUUUUCUUUGACUCUUUCAGGGAGGCCUCUUGAGAAAUCCUAGUGCUAAGAGGUUAAUGCUACUGAGUUUUUUCUUUUUGUUUUGAACAGUUUUGCUUUUCUUUCUUUCUUCCUUUUUCUUUUUUUAACUUAAAAAUGCCUUUGCAGAAAUUUGGGGACAAAAUUAAGCUUAAAAUUUUUCAAUGGUAUCUUUUCCUUCCAUGACCUUUUCAUCUCAUCGCAGUUGCCUUGCAGAUGGGUACAGGUUUCAGCUCUUGAAACUGAGUUAAUGCUAACUUUUCUUAGAAGGCAGUAAUUAUGUUUGAUAAAGUCUUCAACUUAUGCUUUAUUAGAUUUCAAAUCUUCACUGAACUAUGUACAUUGAUAACUGUAGUAACUGUCGUUUGUGACCUUUGAAGAAAAAGGUGGCAUGUAAUGCGAGUAAACUGUUUUUCUGAAAAUGCUAGUUGCCCUCAGUAGAACGGAGGAAACAUUUAAAAAUAAAUGUGCCUUGUGGCUAAAAAGAAGACUCCAAUCUUGAUAUUUUCUUCAGUAUUUUCCACAUUUCAGUGUUUUAUGAGUGAUAAAUGGUUCAUACCUAGUUACUGGAAAAUAACCUUAUUUUUCAUACCUACUAAUUUUGAGUUGUUAAACGGUCUUUUCAGUAUGUAUUUUUUCUGAUUUCCUCAAUUUAAAAUGCUGCUUUUAAAAAUUGAGACCUGGAGUUCCCUGAUGGUCUAGUGGUUAGGACUCACUGCUUUUACUACUGAGGCUCAGGUUCCAUCCCUGGUCUGGAAACUUCCACCUGCCUUGAGCGGGGCCAAGAAAAAAAGCUUGCCCUGGACUGUCAGGUAAACUUGGAGGUCACCUCAGAUCACGGGCGCUCUUCUACCCUGUCCACCUGCAUCCCAGGCAACCGCUGGUCUGUUUUGAUCACCGUGUUUUUCGCUUUCACACUAAAUACAGAUAGAUUCUUACCAUGUGUCCCUUUGCCUCUGGGGCUGCUCCCGGGACGGGGCGUUUGGGAGGUUCGCCUGCAGUGUUGCGCUGGUCCUGUCUCUUCCCCCAAGGGAGCCUGCACGCUGUGUUCCUGAGUCUCCGCUGAUAAGCUCAUGGCGAGUUUCCAGUCCGGGUUAUGUGAGUGAAGCUGCGGUGAACAUCCGGCACGUCGCGGAGAGGGUGCCUCGCAGCCCUGCUGUCCAGGGCGUUUCGUAGAAGCGGCCGCUGGCCGGUCGCUCUGCCUCGGCCCUCAGCCUCGCUGGUGUCUGAUGCGCCGCUUCCAUGUAGGCACCGGUGUUGUCGGGCAGGUCUGUUUGAGCCUGAACUUGAAGAGAACUGUCCUGGUGGUUUUAUUGUACGUUUCCUUGCUAACGCCUUUCUUUUUUGUAGGGCCACGUCUGUGGCACAUGGAAGUUCCCAGGCUCGGGGUUGAGUCGGAGCUGCAGCUGCCGGCCUACACCACAGCCACAGCGACGUGGAUCCUUAACCCACUGAGCAAGGCCAGGAAUCGAACCUGAAUCCUCAUGGACACUCUGUCGUGUUCUUAUUUAACCUGCUAGGCCGCAGUGGGAACUGGCAGGUCUACCAUUAAUCACAGUAUUUCUCUGUACUCUUUGAAGGUACAUUUGUUGUUUAAUGAGGAUGUAUUCGCAUUGGAAUAAAAUUAUGGAAAGUGUAGGCUGCUGAUUUUAGCUGUUGUGAGUUGCCUGCAGUAAUAGCAUUUCGUUUGGCAGCGGUAUUGUGGUCUGUGUCUUUGAGGCAGAGGCUCAGUUGUGAAUUGUGUUCUCUGCGAGAUGAGUCUGAAUCCAGUCACUCUUAAUCGUGUCGAUGUGACACCCCCACCCCCACCCACCUCUCCCGGGCCCCAGCCUGCAAACUGGAGAACCUGCUUCUUAGAAAGAGGCUCGGGCCAGAGCACGCGCGUAACGAAUGUGACUCCGUCACGGUUCCCCCACGAGAGGCUGCUGUAGACACGCUCUCACCGUGUAGGCUGAUUUCCGAGCCAUCAUGAAAAUUCCUUUUCUGGGUUUUCUUUAGGAUGUUCCUCAGCCUCUAUACUUUCGAAUUAUAUAUUAUUUAUCUUUUAUGCAGUCCUCUUUUUUUUGUACCUAAAAUUGACCUUUUGUGUGUGUGUGUGUGGCCAUGUCCAGGGUAUGUGGAAGUUCCUGGACCAGGGAUUAAACCUGUGGCCCAGCUGUAACUAGAGCCACAGCUGUGACACCAGAUCCUGAAACUGUGACACCAGAUCCUGAAACCAUUGAGCCGCCAGAGAAUUCCAAAUUUACCCUUUAAAUUUAUAGAAUUCAGUGUACUUUCAAAAAGUUGUCCAGGAGUUCCUGUCGUGGCGCAGUGGUUAACAAAUCUGACUAGGAACUGUGAGGUUUUAGGUUCGAUCCUUGGCCUCGCUCAGUGGGUUAAGGAUCUGGCGUUGCCGUGAGCUGUGGUGUAGGUCGCAGAAGCGGCUCGGACCCAGCAUUGCUGUGGCUGUGGUGUGGGCCGGCGGCUACAGCUCUAAUUAGACCCCUAGCCUGGGAACCUCCAUAUGCCUCGGGUGUGGCCCCAGAAAAGACAAAAAAUAAAAAUUAAAAAAAUACAUACAUAAAAAAAGAAAGAAAAAGUUGUCCAGCCUUCACCACUGUCUGUGACAGAACAUGUCACGCCCCAGAAAGCACCCCCACCCAUUAGCAGUCACUUCUUUCUCCCAACCUCUCCCCCCCCCCCCCCCCGCCCCCGCCCCAAGUCACUAAUCUAUUUUCUGUCUCUCUGGCUUUGCCUCUUCUGGACACGAUGUAAAUGGAAUCAUACAGUGUGUGGCCUUUUGUGCCUGGCUCAUGUCACCUGUUUUCAAAGUUUAGACUCGUGCAGCAAGUGUCGGUACUUCAGUUCUUUUCUGUUUUUGCUUUUGUGGGCCACACUGUGGCAUGUGGGAGUUCCCGGCCUGCAUCACAGCCACAGCAACGCCGGGUCCUUAACCCACCAAGACCGGAGAUUGGAGCCCCGUCCCCAUGGAAGCUAGCCGUGGACAUUUGGGCCACUUCCGCUUUGUGCUACUGUGAAUCCUCGUUCACGUGGCUUUGCAUGGACACGUGUUUUCUGUUUUCUUGGGUCCAUACCUGGGAGUGGGAUUGCUGGCUCAGGUGUCCUUCUUUAAACUUACUGAGGAUCAGGGAGCCCGUUGUACCCGCCCAGCUGCAGUGCUGCAGGGUUCCAGUGUCCAUUUGCUCCCUGGCACUCACGCAGCCCUGUCUGAGGAUGUGUUUCUGUUACUUAUGUGUAACUCCAUCACCGAAUACGAGCCAUGUGUGCUCAGUGGCAAAUGAGACUGGCACGUGCACUGGUACAUAGUUGACCUCUAAGAAUGGGCUUUUUGUGUUUGUUUUUUUUUUUCCCUUUUUGGCCUCCCACAGAAUGGGGAAGUUCCUGGGCCGGGGAUCAGACCUGAGCCACAGCAAUGAGAAUACCAGAUCCAUAACUGCUAGGCCACCAGGGAACUCCAGGCUUUCUGUGUUUUCAAUGCUUUGUUCUUUGAGAAAAGUCACCAUAAAAGUAUGUGGUAUUGGCUGUUACCAUUUCUGAAUGUAUGAAAACCAUUAGGGUGUGGUUAGAGGAGCCUUUCCCUUUUUCAUUCUUUUUUUUUUUUUCUUAAAUUAUAGUUGAUUUACAGUGUUGUGCCAGUGUCUGCCAUUGUGAGUCAGUUAUACAUAUGCAUACAUUCUUAUUUUUUAUAUUGUUUUUCAUCCUGGUCUGUCCCAGGAGAGUGGAGAUAGUUCCCUGAGCUGUACAGCAGGACCCCAUUGCUUAUCUGUUCUGAAUAAUUUGCGUCUGUUAAUCCCAGACUCCCCGUCCAUCCCACUCCCCCUUGGCAGCUACACGUCUGUUCUCUGUGUCUCUGAGUCUGUCUCUCUCUCGUAGGGAGGCUCAUUUCCGCAUGUAAGUGAUGGAAAUGGGAUUUGUCUUUCUCUCUCUGACUUGGUGCUGCUCUCUGGUUAGGCAGUGAGGUCUUUUCUUGGUGGAGCACAGCAGACGCACUUGUGUCCCCUGCCUUGGGCCAAGUAGAAGGCACUUUUGCAGCUAGGGUAGGAGUCGGGGUCCUGCGUAGGCCUGGCUUAUGAGGGUCCCAAGCUGUGCCGAGACGGGGGACCUGCCCAUGGGAACGCGGGCGCCAGCCCUUCAGCUCUGGGAGGUGGGUUCACUCUGACGCAACAACGAGACUGAGCUGAUGAUGUUAGGAAACGAAGGAGAAGGGAAUCGUUGCUGAGUGGACGUAACGAAACGAGGUGAAGGCUAAGUGGCCUCUCACUAGAAACUGCUUUCUGCUCCGGAGAAUAGGGACGGGGGUGACCCUCGGGUUUUUAAUCCAGCCCGGAACUCUUGUUUUGAAGUCCUAAAUCUCGUUUAACUGUAACCCUAGGAUAAGAGAAAACAUGGAUGACCGCCCCGAGAUUGGACCCCCAGCCCCCGCGUGCACCUGAACUUGAGAUGAGGCAGCCCCGGCGUCUCUCCUUCCAGGUCAUGUCAUCUUGUGGGAGAAGCUAUUUCAAUGAGCCGGGAGAAGCAAACCAGGACAUUGCUGUUAUCUGCGGAUACGUGGGCAUCGCGAGUCCUUGAUUCAG